UACAUGUGGGGCAAGCGUUGUUCGGAAUUACUGGGCAUAAAGGGUGCGUAGGCGGCUUGCCAAGUCGCAGGUGAAAGUUUUCGGCCCAACCGGAAAAGUGCCUGCGAUACUGGCGAGCUUGAGUGCGCGAGGGGUUGGGGGAACGAGCAGUGUAGCGGUGAAAUGCGUAGAUAUUGCUCGGAAGGCCGGAGCCGAAGGGGCCCAACUGGUACGCAACUGACGCUGAGGCACGAAAGCAUGGGGAGCGAACAGG
rnacentral:rRNA from 1 species